rnacentral:misc_RNA from 1 species
ACACCUCAACUCCUCAUGGCUUGCCAUGAUGAGCUUGGAUUUUGGGGGUCUUGUUGGCCUGUGAGCCAGCUCCUCUUAAAGGAAUUAGCUUGCCAGUGUUUGGUGGCAUCACAGGUGUGAUAACUAUCUACGCUUGUGGUUUUACACCAGGUAACCUUCAGCAAUGGAGGUUCACUGGAGCUUAUAAAUGUCUCUCCUCUGCGAGGACGCAUUUUGACCAU